CCAAGCCAGUGGAGCAGGUGAAAGGUCCAUUUCAGUUUCAUACUAGCCCUCCUGCUGGAAACUUAAGAUGCACUUUGGGAGACUCAGAGAAAUCUACAUUAUUCCCAUCUUUGACAACUGAACCAUAUUGCAUUUGUAUAGAAAAGGAUGCUCUUGAAGUAGAAAGUGGAAUUGCCAUGUUGAAAAUUCUGACUAUCAAAUUAUUACAAAGCAGCCAGUGCUUUCUAUCGUAUGGAGUUCAGCUUUAUGAAAACUCUCAGUUUCACUCAAAGGAACAAGCAAGAUCACCCAACCUAUAAACUUCAUCAAUAGGCUUCUAAUCUGCUGAAGAGAUAAAACCAAUAUGCUGAAGAGGUGCAUGCUGGGUACAGCCAUGGGGUCCCUAUGUAGGGGAAGGAGAGGAAAGCUUCAUUCAAGCAAACCGAUUCCUGCAGAUGAAGAUCAAAGCUUUUAUUUUUAGAAAACAAUGUUAACCUCUGCAUUUUUUAAUUACCAUGCUGUUUGAUGGAUGUGAUUUUUGUUGUUGUUGUUGAAACUGGGUCAUAGGAUUUUACUUUCUGCUCUCAGUUUUGGGAGUAUUUGUUGUGUCAGUCUGUGGGGCAUUAAAAAUGUGUGUACAUCCUCUAAGCCAGGACUGAAGUAAUAAACUAUUACUGACUUUG